UUUUUGAGGGGCCGCUUCCCCCACAUGUAUUUAGGCUCUCCAAAUUAAGAGAUUUGGACCUCUCAGACAAUAGAAAUUUAUUUGAAGGAAGUAUUCCUAUUGGACUGGGACUCUUGACUAACCUCAGGUACUUAGAUCUAUAUUCCACUAAUCUCAGCGGCUAUAUUCCAUCUGACAUUGGAAACCUGAAGCUACUAGAAGUUCUUGUUAUCAGUUAUAAUCAAUUGAGUGGACAGCUUUCAAAGAUCAUUUCUAAUCUCACAAAUCUUAUAAUGCUUGAUGUAAGUGAUAAUAGUCUUAGUGGAAAUAUUCAGAGUGACUUGUGGAUACAUCCAACUUUGGAAUUCAUCGCUAUGGGUGGGAACCAUUUUACGGGUAUAGUUUUUCUCUAUAGAUCUUUUCCUUUUGUCUUAUUUAACUAAGCUAGUAAUCUGGUUAUUGCAGUUUUACCAAAGUUUCAACAAUCUUGACAGGUGAACUUCCAAACUGUUUGGGGAAUCUUGCUGAUGGAUUGCGUGUCAUUAAUCUUGCUAGUAAUCAGUUUCGAGGAACAGUACCAACUACUUUCUCCAGGAGUUGUCAGCUGACAUAUCUAAACAUGGAUAAUAAUGAGUUUGAAGGAUUGUUGCCCCCAUCUUUGGCGAAUUGUGAGCACUUGAAAAUUCUUGAUAUUGGCAAUAAUGAAAUAGGUGGUACAUUUCCGUCAUGGCUUUAUGCACUUGGAGAUCUAGAAGUCCUUGUCUUGAAAUCAAAUAAACUCUAUGGUACAAUAAGUGGAAGGAGCAGUGAAGAUCCCUUCCCCAAGUUGCGGAUUGUGGAUCUGUCCAACAAUCAAUUCACUGGUCAUUUGCCAAUUCAAUACUUUAAGAAUAUGAAAUCAACUGAUAAUUUGUAUAGCUAUCAGCAUUCCACAGGAGUUUUUUCUUUCCUUUAUGAAGCAGCAGUGUCGUUAACUUUGAAGGGAACAGAGUAUGAAGUAGCAAAGAACCUUCAUAUUUACACAGCCAUUGAUCUGUCGUGCAAUAAAUUUCAGGGAGAAAUUCCAAAGGUUACUGGAGAGCUUAGAUGGCUUGCAUUGCUCAAUUUAUCGCAUAAUAGUCUGACAGGACCUAUCCCAUCGUUGCUGAGAAAUAUGAAAGAACUCCAAUCUUUAGAUUUGUCCUCAAAUCAACUGACAGGGGUCAUUCCACCUCAGUUAACUGCAUUGACAUUUCUAGAGGUCUUAAACUUCUCGAAAAACCAUCUCAGUGGAGAGAUUCCUCAGAAAGGACAGUUCAGCACAUUCAAUAAUGAUUCUUAUCUUGGAAACUCUGCGUUAUGUGGAUCACCUUUGACGAAGAAAUGUGUAAACACUGUAUCACCUCCACAGGAAGUCGGAAAUGGUGAUGAAGAUGAUGCGGGUGAUGAAUUGACAUGGGAAGCAAUCGUGAUGGGAUAUGGAUGUGGACUGAUAUGUGGAUUGUCAUCUGCGUACAUUGUUCUCAAACUAGGAAGGCCUUGGUGGUUUGUGAGAUAUAUCGAAGUACUGCAACUGAAGUUGAUGAAAAGAUAUGCAUGAAGAAAGGUACUGGUCGAUCAAGACGAAUUUGAAAGUUGUUGUCCUUGUGGACAUUUCUGAACCUGUAGUGUACUAGCUGCAUAAGUAUUUGGUAUUAUGUAAUAAUCCGUUUGGUCGGGACUCAUAAUGAUUUCUCUUGCUUCAGGGGUAUUUAUAUUAACCUUGGUAUUGUGUCCUAGCUGUAAUAUACUGUUUGGUCGGGACUCAUAAUCAUAUUUCUUGCUGGGUAUUAAUAUUAACCUUGUUAUCUUGAUCUAUGUUAAUGCAAAUUAAAGUGAAUGAAAAAACAAAAAAAUAUGCAUCAAAUCCGCUGUUUGAAACAAUUCAAUAAUAAACUCGAGUUUUCCAGGACCAAAUCCACAUAUUCAAUAUCACACUCUUCCUGUGAGGAAACAAAUAUGGAGAAACAUUUCUGUUUACAAAACUUUUACCAUUAUACACUCUUAUAGUACUGGUUAAGAGUUCCUAAACUAAAAUUAUCAGUUCUAUGUGAGUAUGCUUUCAAAUAAGAAUUCGUUGUUCCGCCUAGUCCAAAACUACUCUAAAACUAUAUCGCUGGUAGUCUUUCAGUUCAUCCUACUGUAUGCAAUAGUUUCAUACAUAGGUAACUCGGCCUUGUGUGGACUUCCUUUGACAAAAAAGGGUUAAUAGGCUAAAACAUAAUCGAACUGACCCAAAACUUGCAACAAAUAGGAAGGCCUUGGUGGUUUGUGAGAUACAUCGAAGUGCUGCAACUUAAGUUGAUGUUAUGAAGAACUAAAAAUAUUGUUCCGUCAAGACCAACAACUUGAAAAUGUGUUCUGAAUCUGUAAUAAUAUUAAAAUAUUAUAAUAUAAUUCAUUUAACACUAUCAUCCGAUCAAUUUAAUUUAUUAUCAUUUAGUCAAUAUAUAUAGAUGGAUAUGAAUUGUCUUCCCUCGAACUUUGAGUUGUCAUAGUCCUUAAACAUAUUAAACACUUUGAAAAUUUGUUUCUGCAAGUCUAAAUUGUAGACAACACUUUCAAAGUUAGUUGCCGAAUAGACUCAUUUUGAAAAAAUUGGUUAGAUUCCGGAUAAAUUCAUUAAUCAGAAUUAAAUAUUUCAUGACCCUAACUCAAUCUGUUGUAAAUUGAUGUUGAGUUCAGGUAACACUGGCAGGUAUAAGGCAUAUAAAUAGCAGUCUCAUUAAUUGUGAAGGGAACAGAGUAUGAAGUAAGAAAUAACCUUCAUAUUUACACAGCCAUUGAUCUGUCGUGCAACAAAUGUCUGGGAGAAAUUCCAAAGGUUACUGGAGAGAGCUUAGAUGGCUUGCGAUUGCUCAAUUUAUCUCAUAAUAGUCUUUUUUUGAAAAAAGAAAAUAAUUCAAUAAUGAAAAAUCAUACUAAAUCCACAGAUAUAAUCGAAAUUGAACAAACGCAGAAUCAUAUCACCAUUGAAUCCUUCAGAGACGGCGGCUACUUCAAGGUGAGAGAAAUUUAGGGUUUUGCUUCUUAUCUCUAAAAUAGUUAAUUGAAGAGUCAUCUCAUAAUAGUCUUUGAAGUAUUACUAGGGAAAAUAUAUCUUCAUAAUGAAAAAUAAUUAUCAUUUUAAAAAAAAUUCACGAUAGAGGGGCCAUUUGGAUGAGUUUAAAUAAGUGCUUUUGGUAAAAUUUAAGUUCUUUAAUUUCCAAUUGUUUUAGAAGUUUAAUUAGUAAUUAAUAACAUGUGUACGGUUGGAGUUUUUUUGAGUCUAGCGGUGAUAGUUGUUUGAAAAACUGAUAUACAAGUCUAACAAAGUUUAAGUUAAAUAACUUUAAUUCAUAACUAUUUUGUUACCAAUCUACCAUUUCUUGUGUUUGGGUCUUUUUAAUAUAUGUUGCUACUUUAUGGGUAAUAUCUUUAUCUUCGAAGGAGUUUGUGUUUGUCACUUUGUCAUAACAAUGUCACUACCAUCUCUUUCAUUUUGUAAAAAUCUUAUAUAUAGUGAAUGAUAGCUUGAACUCCUUAUUUAUUUCAAUUAUGAAACAUGAUAUAGAUUUUAUAGAGUUAUUUUACAAAUUAAAUUGUUUGACUUCUUAGUAAAGGAUGUCAAUAAUGUUCAACCUAGUACGUAAUAUGUGUAAUCCGAAAUGAUAUUGUUGUCUGUUCUUUCUACUUUAUGGAUUAUAUCGCUGAUACCAGUAAUUUUAUGCUUCACUGCAUGAUGCAGCUCUCAUGUUAUUAACAGCUAAACUCGUGCCAACACUUUGCGAUGCAAAAUAGUGGCACAAAAGUAUUUUCAUAUGUGUAUUUAUUCGGAAAAUACGUGUAUUUAUUCGGAUAUUAAAGUUAGUAUGGACAUUUGUGUUGAUAAUUUGAGCCCUCUUCUCUUCCAAGUCUUGGGCGGACUCUUUCCAAGUCUCCUGAGGACCCAUAGGCUCAAAUUAGUCCAUUAAAAUUUAUGAUCUGAAAGCUCUCUGCGCACUAAUUUCUCCGCCAAACGAAAAAUCAACAUUUCAUGUACUAACUAUUUCCAUAAUAAUUAACAAGUAUAAAUCAUAUAUAUUUUUCCAUAGAACAUAAAUAGAUGGGGUACUAACAAAACCUCUAGUCAAAUUAAUUAAUACCGUUAUGAUUUCGCAAACACAGCAGACAGCAGGCGUAAGGCUAGCUUAUAAAUAGAAGUGUAGUAUUGGGUUGAUGGUCAAGUUGAGUGGAAGUAUGGCACACUUUGUAAAGCCUUGUUAUCCUCUUCUCUUUGUUUUCUUUCUCUCAUUACUUCAAUCCAUUCUAACAACACAAGAGGGAGAAGCUCUUUUGAAAUGGAAGAAUAGCCUAGCCCCUUCUUCUUUUCUCGACUCUUGGUCCCUCACCAAUCUCGAUAAUCUUUGUAACUGGACUGGCAUUACCUGUAACUCUGCAGGUUCAGUCUCUAAGAUUAACCUUUUUGAGAAACAACUUGAUGGAAUGUUGUCCGAGUUUGGUUACACUUCAUUUCCAAAUCUCAACAAUCUCACCCUCGCAUACAACUUCUUCUCGGGUCCAAUACCACCAGCCAUUGAGAAUUUAACACAGCUUCAGUAUCUGGAUUUUAGCAAUAAUUAUCUAGAUGGUCCCAUUCCGUUCCAGGUUAGUCAUCUUCAGAGCUUGCUCAUCUUAAACCUGUCACAAAAUGCAUUGCAAGCUCCAAAUUGGUCCCAUUUCUCUCCCAUGCCUUUUUUGCGCAUCCUCAACCUCAGUCACAAUCCUCUUUCGUCGAAAUUCCCAAAUUUUAUAUCCAAUUCUCAUAGCCUGACUCACCUUAGCCUUAAUUAUAACGAGUUUACUGGUGAUUUAGUAAGUGAAUCAAUAUUUGCCAAUCUGCAUAAUCUUCAAGUCCUCAGUCUUGUUGGCAAUUCUUUUGAGGGGUCAUUUCCGCCAGAUAUAUUCAAGCUUUCCAAAUUAAAACAUCUUAGCCUGUCACGUAACAAAUUCUCAGGUUCAAUUCCCAAUGACAUAAGGUUGCUUUGUGAUCUUGAAUACCUAUAUUUAGGCAACAAUUCCUUUGAAGGACCGCUUCCACCAAAUAUAUUCAAGCUUUCAAAAUUAAAACAUCUUUUUCUUUGGGGUAAUAAGUUUUCAGGUUCUGUUUCCAAUGAUAUAGGUUUGCUUUCUGAGCUUGAAACCCUCGAUCUUCGCUCUAAUUUUUUUGAGGGGACACUUCCGCCAAAUUUAUUCAAGCUCUCCAAACUAAAGAUUCUUUCCCUUUAUGAGAACAACUUUUCAGGUUUUAUUUCUAAGGAUAUAGGUUUGCUUUCUGAGCUUGAAAGCCUCGAUCUUGGCUCUAAUUUUUUUGAGGGGCCGCUUCCCCCACAUAUAUUUAGGCUCUCCAAAUUAAGAGAUCUGGGUCUCUCAGACAAUAGAAAUUUAUUUGAAGGAAGUAUUCCUAUUGGACUGGGACUCUUGACUAACCUCAUGUUCUUAGAUCUAUAUUCCAGUAAUCUCAGUGGCUAUAUUCCAUCUGAAAUUGGAAACCUGAAGCUACUAGUACUUCUUGAUCUCCGUUCUAAUCAAUUUACUGGACCGCUUUCAAAG
rnacentral:lncRNA from 1 species